rnacentral:rRNA from 1 species
GCCCAGUGACAAUCCGUUAAACGGCCGCGGUAUCCUAACCGUAGCAAAGGUAGCAUAAUCACUUGCCCAUUAAUUGUGGGCUAGAAUGAAUGGAUUAACGAAAUUAAUUCUGUCUCUUUUUAUUUUAUACAAAUUAAUAUAUAGGUGAAGAAGCCUGUAUAAGAUUGAAAGACAAGAAGACCCUAUAGAGCUUUAUUUAAAACAAGUUUAAAUAACUUUUAGUAAAUUUGGUUGGGGCGACCCGGGAUUAAAUUUAUCAUCCCAUUAAAAUCGGUGUAUUUACCUUAAUAAAGAUCCUAGUAUUAGAUCAUAAGAAUAAGCUACCUUAGGGAUAACAGGCUAAUCUCAUUUGAAAGUUCUUAUUAAAAAUGAGGUUUGGCACCUCGAUGUUGGCUUAGGAAAUCUAAAUAGCGCAAAAGCUAUGAAAGAUGGUUUGUUCAACCUUUAAUUUCCUACAUGAGCUGAGUUCAGACCGGCGUAAGCCAGGUUAGUUUCUAUCUUCAAUUUUUGAUUAUAAAUAUUCUGUUUACAGUACGAAAGGACCUAAAUUCGAGCAAUAGUUGUAAUAUUUAAUUGAAAUUAUUUAAAAUUAAUUUAGUAAAAUUAAUAUAUAUACUAUACUUAAAUAUAGUGAGUUGGCAGAUUAGUGUAAUUGAUUUAGGAUCAAAAUAUGGAUAGUGUCCACUUACUACUUUAUGCAACUUAGUUUAUUUAGAACUGUCAACUUGCACUUGAUUAGAGAGAUAUUAUCUCAGUAGCAUAGCCAUUCGUUUGGGAAACAGAAGACCUUGAAAGUCUUUAUUAGAGGUUCAACUCCUUUUUUGGCUCUAAUUAGAUGGCAGAAUA